CCUACGGGAGGCAGCAGUAAGGAAUAUUGGUCAAUGGGCGCAAGCCUGAACCAGCCAUGCCGCGUGCAGGAUGACGGCCCUCUGGGUUGUAAACUGCUUUUAUACGGGAAGAACAGCAUCUACGUGUAGGUGUUUGACGGUACUGUAAGAAUAAGGACCGGCUAACUUCGUGCCAGCAGCCGCGGUAAUACGAAGGGUCCAAGCGUUAUCCGGAUUUAUUGGGUUUAAAGGGUGCGUAGGCGGCUUUUUAAGUCAGUGGUGAAAGCCUGAUGCUCAACAUCAGAACUGCCAUUGAUACUGAAGAGCUUGAGUACAGUUGAGGUUGGCGGAAUGUGUCAUGUAGCGGUGAAAUGCUUAGAUAUGACACAGAACACCGAUUGCGAAGGCAGCUAGCUAAGCUGUUACUGACGCUGAUGCACGAAAGCGUGGGGAGCAAACAGGAUUAGAUACCCUGGUAGUCCACGCCCUAAACGUUGAUAACUCGUUGUUAGCGAUAUACUGUUAGCGACCAAGCGAAAGCAUUAAGUUACUCCUAACGUAGGUAGUUAGUUCGUGAGAGUAGUUAAGUUAAUUAGAGUUAGAGNGNGAGAGNGCGACGCGACGACGAGGAGGAGG
rnacentral:rRNA from 1 species